UCUCCGUAGGUGAACCUGCGGAGGGAUCAUUACUGAGUUAGCGCUCCGGCGCGACCUCCAACCCUUUUGUGAAAUUGACCUCUGUUGCCUCGGGGGUGACCCGGCCCUCUGGUGCCGGGGCCCCCGGUGGACCCCUCAACUCUGCAUCUUUGCGUCUGAGUACUAUUUUGAAUCAAUCAAAACUUUCAACAACGGAUCUCUUGGUUCUGGCAUCGAUGAAGAACGCAGC
rnacentral:misc_RNA from 1 species